rnacentral:misc_RNA from 1 species
AGCAAUUCUACGGUACUUGAGGAGGUACCAUGAGGUAUCAAAAAUUUAGUGUAAAAUUUAAUACCUCAUAGUACCUCAUAGUAUCUAGGUACCAAAUUUACAAUAGAAAAAAGGAGAUCAAGGGUUCUAAUUGAUUCCAAGCACAAAAGAAACUCUCUAAGUGGUACCUCAUGGUACCUUCUCAAGGACCGUAAAAUUGC